AUGCUGAGGGAGUGCGGCAUCUCGAUAGAUCCAGAGUUUACUCAAGUCGAGGGUAGAGUCCUUCAAGCACCACAGUUAAACUCUGCAGAUGGUAGAGAACUUCAUACACCUAAUGGGAGGUGGAACUUCAAUAAUGACAGGUUCAUUCAACCCAUAAAAGUGAAGAUGUGGGGAGUUGUUAAUUUGUCUGCACGAUGUAAUGUUGAAGAUCUUGUCAGGCGCCUUAUCCAGUCUGGUGCCAAGAAGGGAACUGAAAUGGCCGAAUGUGGCGUUGUAAUUGAGGAGAGGCAUCAAAUGAGACGGGAGCCUCCGACGAAAAGGGUGGAGGCUAUGUUUCAGCAGAUUAAAGCAAAGUUAACACGAAAACCAGACUUUCUCUUUCUCCUGUGUGUUCUUCCUGAGAAGAACAGUGACAUUUAUGGACCGUGGAAGCGCGAAUGCCUUGUGGAGCAUGGUAUCUUUACACAAUGCUUGGUUCCUCCUCCCAAUAUCAAAGAUCAGUACCUCACAAAUGUGCUGCUAAAGAUAAAUGCCAAGCUGGGCGGGUUGAAUUCAUUGCUAAAAAAGGAAACAACCCGUGCUAUUCCUCACGUGUCGAGGGUACCAACCAUCAUCUUUGGUAUGGAUGUUUCCCAUGGUUCACCAGGACGAAACGUGCCAUCGGUUGCUGCAGUGGUUAGUUCAUUGAAGUGGCCAAUCAUGUCAAAGUACAGAGCGUCUGUGUGCACUCAGUCACCCAGGCUGGAAAUGAUUGAUACCUUGUUUAAGCCAGUUGGAGAUGAUGAUCAUGGCCUCAUUAAGGAUUCACUAGUUGACUUCCUCAGAAACAACAAUGGUCAGAGGCCGGAACAAAUUAUCAUUUUCAGGGAUGGUGUUAGUGAGAGCCAGUUCAAUCAGGCACUGAACGAGGAGCUAGCUCAGAUCAUGGAGGCAUGCAAGCAUUUUAAUGGCAACUGGUUCCCCAAGUUCACAUUGAUAGUUGCACAGAAGAAUCAUCACACGAGAUUUUUCCUACCUGAUCAAGUGAAUAAUGUCCCCCCUGGUACUGUGGUUGAUAGAGGCAUCUGCCAUCCCAGUAACUAUGAUUUCUACAUGUGUGCUCACGCUGGCAUGAUUGGUACUACAAGGCCAACGCACUACCAUGUGCUCCACGACGAGAUAGGCUUCUCUGCUGAUGAGCUGGAGGAGCUCGUGCACUCCCUAUCCUAUGCGUACCAGAGGAGCACCACAGCAAUCUCAGUAGUUGCUCCCAUAUUCUACGCACACCUUGCGGCGGGCCAGGUGGCCAAGUUCACCAGGCUCGAUGACAUGUCGGAGACGUCGUCCCAGGCUGAGGCUGCCCCGGUGCCGGAGCUGCCUCGUCUGCAUCGCAACAUAGCGUCAUCGAUGUUCUUCUGCUGA
rnacentral:rRNA from 1 species